GACGAACGCUGGCGGCGUGCUUAACACAUGCAAGUCGAGCGGAAAGGCCACUUCGGUGGUACUCGAGCGGCGAACGGGUGAGUAACACGUGAGUAAUCUGCCCCUGGCUUUGGGAUAGCCACCGGAAACGGUGAUCAAUACCGGAUACGACCACUUCUUGCAUGGGAUGGUGGUGGAAAGGUUUUUCGGCCUGGGAUGUGCUCGCGGCCUAUCAGCUUGAUGGUGAGGUAAUGGCUCACCAGGGCCUCGACGGGUAGCCGGCCUGAGAGGGUGACCGGUCACAGUGGGACUGAGACACGGCCCAGACUCGUACGGGAGUCAGCAGUGGGGAAUAUUGGACAAUGGGCGGAAGCCUGAUCCAGCAACGCCGCGUGAGGGAUGACGGCCUUCGGGUUGUAAACCUCUUUCAGCAGGGACGAAGCGCAGGUGACGGUACCUGCAGAAGAAGCACCGGCCAACUACGUGCCAGCAGCCGCGGUAA
rnacentral:rRNA from 1 species